AUACUUACCUGGCAGGGGAGAUACCAUGAUCAAGAAGGUGGUUCACAUUUGACGAGGCUCUGCCAUUGCACUUUGGCGGUAGCUGACCCGAACUAAUUCCCCAAAUGUGGGAAUCUCGACUGCAUAAUUUGUGGUAGUGGGGGACUGCGUUUGCAGCCGUGGCCUACU